rnacentral:rRNA from 1 species
UACGUAGGGUGCGAGCGUUAAUCGGAAUUACUGGGCGUAAAGCGUGCGCAGGCGGUUUUGUAAGCCAGAUGUGAAAUCCCCGGGCUCAACCUGGGAAUGGCAUUUGGGACUGCAAGGCUUGAGUGCGGCAGAGGAGACUGGAAUUCCUGGUGUAGCAGUGAAAUGCGUAGAGAUGCGGAGGAACACCGAUGGCGAAGGCAGCCCCCCUGGGCCAACACUGACGCUCAGGCACGAAAGCGUGGGGAGCAAACAGG